rnacentral:misc_RNA from 1 species
GAUGAAGAACGUAGCGAAAUGCGAUAAGUAAUGUGAAUUGCAGAAUUCAGUGAAUCAUCGAAUCUUUGAACGCACAUUGCGCCCCUUGGUAUUCCGAGGGGCAUGCCUGUUCGAGCGUCAUUAUACCCCUCAAGCUCAGCUUGGUGUUGGGGCCUGCUGCACUGGCAGCCCUUAAAAUCAGUGGCGGCGCCAUCUGGCUCUAAGCGUAGUAAUUCUUCUCGCUAUGGAGUCCUGGUGGAUGCUUGCCAUCAACCCCCAAUUUUUCUAUGGUUGACCUCGGAUCAGGUAGGGAUACCCGCUGAACUUAAGCAUAUCAAUAAGCGGAGGA